GAUGAACGCUGGCGGCGUGCCUAAUACAUGCAAGUCGAGCGAACGGACGAGAAGCUUGCUUCUCUGAUGUUAGCGGCGGACGGGUGAGUAACACGUGGAUAACCUACCUAUAAGACUGGGAUAACUUCGGGAAACCGGAGCUAAUACCGGAUAAUAUUUUGAACCGCAUGGUUCAAAAGUGAAAGACGGUCUUGCUGUCACUUAUAGAUGGAUCCGCGCUGCAUUAGCUAGUUGGUAAGGUAACGGCUUACCGAGGCAACGAUGCAUAGCCGACCUGAGAGGGUGAUCGGCCACACUGGAACUGAGACACGGUCCAGACUCCUACGGGAGGCAACAGUAGGGAAUCUUCCGCAAUGGGCGAAAGCCUGACGGAGCAACGCCGCGUGAGUGAUGAAGGUCUUCGGAUCGUAAAACUCUGUUAUUAGGGAAGAACAUAUGUGUAAGUAACUGUGCACAUCUUGACGGUACCUAAUCAGAAAGCCACGGCUAACUACGUG
rnacentral:rRNA from 1 species